CAAAGUUGGGAUGAUGCUCGGACAUGAUGGGGCACGACCCGCUGGGAUCAUCCACCGCCGCUUCAGCGCCAUACUCCUCCUGGUAGGCCAGGCUUGGGCACGGAGGAGAGUAGGUGGAGGGGUAGGGGGGCAGGUGGAAGCCGAGGGCUGCCUGCUCAUCUGUCACAGGUUUACCCCUCACUUGGAGGCCGGUGUUCAUUCUGGAGUGACCCCCUUCCAGAGGUAAGGUCAAGGGAUGGGACAGUAGAGGAUCCUCCUCCUUGAACAUGACUGCACGAAUAAAGACAAAUUGGUGAGUAAUUAGAUAUGCACUUUUUCUCACAGGUUACCACAGAGGGGCAGAUGGACCAGCGGAUGGGCAGAUGGACUAGCACAUGGCGUACUCCCUAGCACAAACAUUUAUGUGUAUUUGGGGUUACUUAGGAAAUUGUAUGGCAUUUGUAAUGGUUCCAAAUAUGAAAAGGAGUGAAACAUAUCCAAUUAGCCAACGAGCCGUAGGGUUAAUUCCCAUGUAUGGUCAUGUUAGAUUUGUUGGUGCAGUGACGCGGAUACUAACUGGGGAUAUAUUUGAAGCAAUGAGUGCUGCUCCGUUUCCUCUUCCCGUUGGACACGUAAAGACUGACCGACACUGGACGACUGACAGACAAGUCGCAGUAGGGCGGUACCCUCAUACACAGCAAACACUGGAGGGAGAAGCAAUCAUUUUCAUGCCGAAGAAAAAAGAACUGAGCAGAAAACUACUUUUUAAAAAGUGGACCAAAACUACCUCAUUGCUGUUGUCACGGUCCACAUGGGCCUCCUGCUCCCACUGAAGUUUCCCAUCUGAUUGUUUGGAAAGAAAACACUUUAUUUACCUAGAUUUCUACAGCUACCAGUUUAGGCAGUAGCUACAUUACAACACAACAAUGGAGAGGAUCCUCAGUGAGCACUUACCAGUACCUCUCUCCAUGAAAAGAACCCUGGAGAUGGGCAUGAAGUUGGUGCCGCUCAGCAACAGCUCCUCGCCACCCUCCACCGAACAGGAUGUGAGGCUAACCGACUCAAUGACGGGCAGCUCCUGCGCUGACCGCUGGGCUGCGACAAGGAGAACACAAAAAAUCAGUAUGAAAUAUAAUCCAAUAAGAUUAAAUUGGUCUAUCAUUCAUACAUUGUAAACAGUUCUUUUUUACAGACUCUGUAUAAAAGAACUGUUUAGACCAGGGAUUGGCAACGCGCGGCUCCGGAUCCACAUGCGGCUCUUCAGCCUCCUUGUUGCGGCUCCCUUCGCCAACUGCAGUGAUUUUUUUUUUACACUGAAGGACUGGAAAUGAAUGUAAAAUAUCCGACUCACCGCAAGUCCAUGAAUGCAUCUAGACUGCGUUCUGACUGCUGAUUGGAUGAGCAAGGGAGGGGGAGGUAGGCUAGUGUACGCAGAGAGUCUCACUGCGUGAGAUAGAAAAUAAGGUGAGGGAGUUUUGAGUUGUCUGAAGCAAGUUACUGCGCAGUAAAAUAAAACAAUGUAAUUGUUGUAAAACGGGAGCAUGGCAAUGUGUUUUAUAAGCGUGCUGUAGCUAUGUGCUCGGAGCCCGUGACACGCUAAUAGCCGAGGUGGUGACGCCAAGAGAGGCAGACAGUGUGCCAUGGCGACUGACUGUACACUCACCGCUCAGAACAAUACGUGCUUUCACUUUCACGUCUCCAAAUACCAGAAAAAUCUCCCAGCGAUAUCAGGAAAAGUCUUUACAUUUGUCACUUGUCGCUUUUGAGAAAAUAAGUCAUGAAGAGGGUUUGGAAAGUCGCCAGAUUUCGCGAAAAAAAUCGCCAAGUUGGCAAUACUGGGCUGCACAUGAGAUGAGCACAGAUGGAGAAUACAUGAAAGAAUCGUUCAUAAAAAUAACAGAGCGUCUAUUCUCCGAAUUAAAAAAUAAACAGAAAAUUAUUUAGAAAAUGAAACAGUCAAGGACAGGACCAAUAGAAUGGUUAUUGAUGACAAUCAAGCGCAGGCAUAAACGGUACUGAGCAAACAAUACUGAUGUGCAGAUAUGUGAACACUGAUGGACCUUUUUUUAUCUUAAACUUGGUUACGUUUUGUUUUAAUUUUACACAAAUAUGGGAAACACUCUGUAAGAUUUACAGAGUUAAGUGUUUAAAUUAUUUCAGAGUAGGCCUACACAUGUAGACGCACUUCUGUUGUUGAAUUUUGUGGUUGUAACAGGUAACAUUUUAAAAAGAUUACCCUUUUUACAAGUUUAUAAGCAGUGUGAUGUUUUGCAGCUUUUUACUUGAAGAGGAGGCAAAAUGGCUCUUUUGAUGUUAAAGGUUGCCGACCCCUGGUUUAGACGGGUAUGUCGUCGCCAUCCAGCCUAUAACGUAGAAGUGGCCACUCACAACAUUCAAUGGGCAGCGAGGCCACUUGGAGAGCCAAGACCCGACCAGGCGGGGCAGCAGGGGGCACCAAAGGAAGAUGGGUGCGGAAGACCAAGCGGACACGUGUGUUUUUCCUCCCGACGUCGGUUUCACCUUUCCUCAGCUCAAUGUCUGAGUUCCUCAGCUUGAGAAUCCCGGCGCAGUCGAUGCUGUGGCGUUCAACAGUGGUAUCACUAUCACCACAUCAGCAUUGUCUCUAAAACAGAACCCCAGUCUACUCACAGUGCGGUCAUGUGGUUCUCCGGGUUAAGAGGGAUGUCCAGAAGCUUGGUGCCUGUCUGGAUGCGCUCGUGACUUGUGGUGCCCACCAUUUUUCCAGUCACCCUGAAAACAGACCAGUGAAGGACUGACUGACCAAAGUCAAAGUGGCUCUUGUUCUAUUUUGUUCUUGGCCACAUCCAAACCAGAAAACCUCUGAGAUCAGAUUCUCAUCCCAAGAACUUCCCAAGGACUAAAUGAAGCAACUGCCCAAUACCUGUGUAUCUGAUAGAAAGGAUGUGGCCUGAUGGAUCGAUCGUCUGCAGUUCCGACAAAAACCUGAAGGGAAAGCGGUUUCCUUUCGGUGUAUCCGCUCAGCUGCAAAGAGUAUUACUGUAUUAUGGUUUCUACAUGUCUUUGGUUCAGACUAUACUGGCAAGUCACCUUGACGACAGGAUGUCCCGUCGGAAUGGCCUUAACAGCUCCUCGGCUCCCCUCAGUCUCGUAGUGGGCCCGGUGGUGCGGACGGGGCUGCACCUCAAUGCGCAGCUCAUACUCAUCAAACUGGGAGGGGAGAGGCCAGUCGAGUGGCGGCAGGGCGUUGGACCUAGACGAAUUUGUAUUACAAGGUUAUACCUGCCAUGUCUGCCAAGACAUCAGACCCACUAAACCAGUAGGAGGCAGCAAAUGACCAUAUUAAUAGGCUGCCUAAAGUCGACCAUAUGGUGGCACACUUUUUCAACUAUUGUCAACAUGGGACCUGGGAGAAGGAUGGUGACUUGCCUGAACAGAGGACUGUGGGCACUGGUUCGUGUCCGACCCCAAGCCACAGCAGGUGGCACCGAAAGGUAGUCCAUACCCAUAGUGGGGGGCUCUCUCCUGGUCUGUAGAGUCUCUGGAAGCGGGCAGGAGGAGCUGGGUGUCAGGGACUGCUCCUGAUCCACCUCCCUUGGAGAUAACUAAGGGAGCAAGAAGUCUGAUUGAGAUUACUUUUGAGAGUAAAACAUCUUAACUCAUGUGUCACGAAUACCUGCUCCACAGACGUCUUCCUGGUUUUCUGCGGGAUGCUGAGCUCACAACUGUUGAGUGGGGCUUGUGAUGUAAGGCCUGAGUCUCCUCCCUCCACGAUGCCCCCCUGAAGCUCUUCAGAAUAACUUGCCCUGCGGGAGGAGCACGGAGAGGCAAGGGGCGAGUUCCUGCGCUUCUUACCGCCUGGCGAAGUCGGCCUGGAGGACGGCGAGAGGCCGAAAUGGAGCGCGGCCUCAUUGAGCUCCUCUUCCUCUGCCAGCAGGGAGUCCCAGCUGGACGCUGGACUGAGCCAGCCGCGGGAGGAGGGGCUGGAGGCGGGGCUGGGGCUGAGCGAGCCUGGGCAUCUGUCUCUGUAGGUGAAAGGGUCCAGCAAGGGGAGGUAGAGACGCUCCCUGUCCCACCUGCCCCCGCCAUCCAUGUCCCAGGAGUUGGAGGGUGCUGGGUCAUCCUCAGGGGAGAUGGUGGUAAUCUGAAUGCUGGGACACUCCACCACACGGGACUCUGAAACCUGACAGAGCGCGCUGGCAGGCUCUCGUAGGUUCCGCUGAACUCCUUGACCAUCACUCUCCGUGGAGGCGGGGAAUGCAUACCAGCCCUCUGAUUGGCUGAAGGUGGGGGGCUGGGGAUGCGGAUGGAGUGGCCCGCAUGAGUGGCAGCAAGGUGACUGUCUGUACCUGAUUAUUGGUUUAAGCCUCACGAUGACGACUGCCUUUUGGAAACGUUCUGGCAUGAGAAAACCUCAUUAUAUCUCCACUGAAUUUGAGCCCGCCCCGUCCUCUCAUGGACAGCUGUACCAUGACAUCUGGGGCCAUGUUGGACCGAUUCAGCCCAGUGGACCCUGCGGUGGAAAGCAGGCAUCGCUGACUUUACAUGCAGCUUAUUCUGUGGAGCUUCUGGUGACUGGUGACAUGACUACAAGAACAGACCAACAGCUUCUGGAACACAUGGCAGAUUUUUCUAGGUUUUGUAGUAAAUCCCACUAAAAAUGUGUGUUCUGUCGUGGUAGAAAAGCCUUGUAAAAUUUGAUCAGAACUAAAAAAAAAAAAAAGUUUCACAUUUUGUGGGACAUCCCUUUAAACAGGUAGCAUCCCUUUUACACCAAAAAAUGGUGUGCCACAUUUUGUAAGAUAUCCUACUAAAAGAGCAGCAUCUUUUUUUAUUCUCAAAAAGUGUUUCACAUUUUGUCCACAAAACUCUCAUUUGCCCUUAUUACACCAAUUGCAAUGGGGUACAUUUUGUAGAAAAUCCUACUACCGUGUUUUGCGGACUAUAAGGCAUUCUGGAGUGUACAGUAAGUCGCAACAGUCAAAAAGUGCCAUCAGGACAAGAAAUUCCUUCAUCCUUUGUUGUUGUGCAUACAGUAUGUAUACCAUACUCCAACCCAAUCAUUUGUGGUUUUCAUAGCUAAAGAUUUCCACUUUGAGGUCUUCCUGUCGUGCUGUCUUUUCGUGCUGUCCACUGUGAAUGUCAUUGAAUGUAGAUACAUGGGUUCCUAAUUCUAGUACUUCUUGUAGAGCACGUGUCAAACUCGUGCCCUGGAGGGCCGAGACGCUGCAGGUUUUCUCUCCAACCAGUUUCUUCAGCAGGUGAUUUAAUUGAUGAGCUCCUUCCCUCAAACUGAAGGUGUUGAUCAUUAAAAUCACCUGCUUUAGUGAGUGCAAUUAAAUGAACGGUGAAAUAGAUUUAACAGAGUGGUCCUUGAGACGUCUAUUAGGUUGUGGAGAGUUUCAUCUCCAACAAACCCUAACCCAAUGCGACCUGAUAUCCGGUUUGAGGUGAUGAUUCCGAUUCGCCGGUCAAAGACUCCUGUAUCGAUAAUAAUCAGCCAUAAAUGUUUAGAUUGAUUGAUUGUGGAGACAUGCACCGGGUAUCACAAGCGAAGCAAUCGGUUGAUCGUGACAAAUACUUUUAUUUACUUACAGUAUCUGUGCUUGGAAGAGAUGUGUCAUUAGUGAUAAGACUCA